ACUCAAAGGAAUUGACGGGGGCCCGCACAAGCGGUGGAGCAUGUGGUUCAAUUCGACGCAACGCGAAGAACCUUACCAGCUCUUGACAUGUCUAGGACCGGCCGCAGAGAUGUGGCCUUCUCUUCGGAGCCUAGAACACAGGUGCUGCAUGGCUGUCGUCAGCUCGUGUCGUGAGAUGUUGGGUUAAGUCCCGCAACGAGCGCAACCCUCGCCUUUAGUUGCCAUCAUUUAGUUGGGCACUCUAAAGGGACUGCCGGUGAUAAGCCGCGAGGAAGGUGGGGAUGACGUCAAGUCCUCAUGGCCCUUACGGGCUGGGCUACACACGUGCUACAAUGGCGGUGACAGUGGGAUGCAAUGGAGUAAUCCUGCGCAAAUCUCAAAAAACCGUCUCAGUUCGGAUUGGGGUCUGCAACUCGACCCCAUGAAGUUGGAAUCGCUAGUAAUCGCGGAUCAGAACGCCGCGGUGAAUACGUUCCCGGGCCUUGCACACACCGCCCGU
rnacentral:rRNA from 1 species